rnacentral:rRNA from 1 species
CCUACGGGAGGCAGCAGUGAGGAAUAUUGGUCAAUGGACGAGAGUCUGAACCAGCCAAGUAGCGUGAAGGAUGACUGCCCUAUGGGUUGUAAACUUCUUUUAUAUGGGAAUAAAACGUUCCACGUGUGGGAUUUUGUAUGUACCAUAUGAAUAAGGAUCGGCUAACUCCGUGCCAGCAGCCGCGGUAAUACGGAGGAUCCGAGCGUUAUCCGGAUUUAUUGGGUUUAAAGGGAGCGUAGGUGGAUUGUUAAGUCAGUUGUGAAAGUUUGCGGCUCAACUGUAAAAUUGCAGUUGAAACUGGCAGUCUUGAGUACAGUAGAGGUGGGCGGAAUUCGUGGUGUAGCGGUGAAAUGCUUAGAUAUCACGAAGAACUCCGAUUGCGAAGGCAGUUCACUGGACUGCAACUGACACUGAGGCUCGAAAGUGUGGGUAUCAAACAGGAUUAGAUACCCGAGUAGUC